rnacentral:rRNA from 1 species
GGGGAAUCUUCCGCAAUGGGCGAAAGCCUGACGGAGCAAUACCGCGUGAGGGAUGACGGCCUGUGGGUUGUAAACCUCUUUUCUCAAGGAAGAAGUUCUGACGGUACUUGAGGAAUAAGCAUCGGCUAACUCUGUGCCAGCAGCCGCGGUAAUACAGAGGAUGCAAGCGUUAUCCGGAAUCACUGGGCAUAAAGCGUCUGUAGGUGGUUUGGUAAGUCCGCUGUUAAAGACUGGGGCUCAACCCCAGAAAAGCAGUGGAAACUGCCAGACUUGAGUGUGGUAGAGGUAGAGGGAAUUCCUAGUGUAGCGGUGAAAUGCGUAGAUAUUAGGAAGAACACCAAUGGCGAAGGCACUCUACUGGACCAUAACUGACACUGAGAGACGACAGCUAGGGGAGCAAAUGGGAUUAGAUACCCCUGUAGUC